GUGCUCACUUGAGCAGCACAUAUACUAAAAUUAGAAUGAUACAGAGAAGAUUAGCUUGGCCUCUGUACAGUUGUGACAUGCAAAUUCAUGAAGUGUUCCAGAUAUUU
rnacentral:snRNA from 1 species